rnacentral:rRNA from 1 species
UACGUAGGGCGCGAGCGUUGUCCGGAUUUAUUGGGCGUAAAGAGCUCGUAGGCGGCUUGUCGCGUCGACUGUGAAAUCCCGCGGCUCAACCGCGGGUCUGCAGUCGAUACGGGCAGGCUAGAGUUCGGUAGGGGAGACUGGAAUUCCUGGUGUAGCGGUGAAAUGCGCAGAUAUCAGGAGGAACACCGAUGGCGAAGGCAGGUCUCUGGGCCGAUACUGACGCUGAGGAGCGAAAGCAUGGGGAGCGAACAGG